rnacentral:rRNA from 1 species
CAGACAAACUCCGAAUGCCAAUUAAUUUAACUUGGGAGUCAGAACAUGGGUGAUAAGGUCCGUGUUCGAAAGGGAAACAGCCCAGACCACCAGCUAAGGUCCCAAAAUAUAUGUUAAGUGGAAAAGGAUGUGGCGUUGCCCAGACAACUAGGAUGUUGGCUUAGAAGCAGCCAUCAUUUAAAGAGUGCGUAAUAGCUCACUAGUCGAGUGACACUGCGCCGAAAAUGUACCGGGGCUAAACAUAUUACCGAAGCUGUGGAUUGUCCUUUGGACAAUGGUAGGAGAGCGUUCUAAGGGCGUUGAAGCAUGAUCGUAAGGACAUGUGGAGCGCUUAGAAGUGAGAAUGCCGGUGUGAGUAGCGAAAGACGGGUGAGAAUCCCGUCCACCGAUUGACUAAGGUUUCCAGAGGAAGGCUCGUCCGCUCUGGGUUAGUCGGGUCCUAAGCUGAGGCCGACAGGCGUAGGCGAUGGAUAACAGGUUGAUAUUCCUGUACCACCUAUAAUCGUUUUAAUCGAUGGGGGGACGCAGUAGGAUAGGCGAAGCGUGCGAUUGGAUUGCACGUCUAAGCAGUAAGGCUGAGUAUUAGGCAAAUCCGGUACUCGUUAAGGCUGAGCUGUGAUGGGGAGAAGACAUUGUGUCUUCGAGUCGUUGAUUUCACACUGCCGAGAAAAGCCUCUAGAUAGAAAAUAGGUGCCCGUACCGCAAACCGACACAGGUAGUCAAGAUGAGAAUUCUAAGGUGAGCGAGCGAACUCUCGUUAAGGAACUCGGCAAAAUGACCCCGUAACUUCGGGAGAAGGGGUGCUCUUUAGGGUUAACGCCCAGAAGAGCCGCAGUGAAUAGGCCCAAGCGACUGUUUAUCAAAAACACAGGUCUCUGCUAAACCGUAAGGUGAUGUAUAGGGGCUGACGCCUGCCCGGUGCUGGAAGGUUAAGAGGAGUGGUUAGCUUCUGCGAAGCUACGAAUCGAAGCCCCAGUAAACGGCGGCCGUAACUAUAACGGUCCUAAGGUAGCGAAAUUCCUUGUCGGGUAAGUUCCGACCCGCACGAAAGGCGUAACGAUUUGGGCACUGUCUCAACGAGAGACUCGGUGAAAUCAUAGUACCUGUGAAGAUGCAGGUUACCCGCGACAGGACGGAAAGACCCCGUGGAGCUUUACUGUAGCCUGAUAUUGAAAUUCGGCACAGCUUGUACAGGAUAGGUAGGAGCCUUUGAAACGUGAGCGCUAGCUUACGUGGAGGCGCUGGUGGGAUACUACCCUAGCUGUGUUGGCUUUCUAACCCGCACCACUUAUCGUGGUGGGAGACAGUGUCAGGCGGGCAGUUUGACUGGGGCGGUCGCCUCCUAAAAGGUAACGGAGGCGCUCAAAGGUUCCCUCAGAAUGGUUGGAAAUCAUUCAUAGAGUGUAAAGGCAUAAGGGAGCUUGACUGCGAGACCUACAAGUCGAGCAGGGUCGAAAGACGGACUUAGUGAUCCGGUGGUUCCGCAUGGAAGGGCCAUCGCUCAACGGAUAAAAGCUACCCCGGGGAUAACAGGCUUAUCUCCCCCAAGAGUUCACAUCGACGGGGAGGUUUGGCACCUCGAUGUCGGCUCAUCGCAUCCUGGGGCUGUAGUCGGUCCCAAGGGUUGGGCUGUUCGCCCAUUAAAGCGGUACGCGAGCUGGGUUCAGAACGUCGUGAGACAGUUCGGUCCCUAUCCGUCGUGGGCGUAGGAAAUUUGAGAGGAGCUGUCCUUAGUACGAGAGGACCGGGAUGGACAUACCUCUGGUGUACCAGUUGUCGUGCCAACGGCAUAGCUGGGUAGCUAUGUGUGGACGGGAUAAGUGCUGAAAGCAUCUAAGCAUGAAGCCCCCCUCAAGAUGAGAUUUCCCAACUUCGGUUAUAAGAUCCCUCAAAGAUGAUGAGGUUAAUAGGUUCGAGGUGGAAGCAUGGUGACAUGUGGAGCUGACGAAUACUAAUCGAUCGAAGACUUAAUCAA